rnacentral:lncRNA from 1 species
AUUAUAUCAUAUACUUUUGCACAAUCCUGUGUUUGACUUAAGCAUCGGAGGGGCGACGAGCACACACAUCGUUGCCUUUGUUUCAGGUACCGGAAGGCGCAAUUCGUGUUCCAUCUCAGUCCUCAAGCUCUAGAUCUACCAGGUAUGAUUUUUGGUAGCAUCAUUGGCGCCAUCUGUGGAAAACACUACCAAAAUCCAUGGUGAAUACAUGAUCAGGUCUUCCACAAGCAAGCUCAUCUAUACCAAAUCCUCCCCCUGAAGAUCAUCCUAUCCCUCAAGAGGAAUCAUCAGAGAUAGCAGCACCACCACCGGAGCUUUCGGAUGGUGAUCUGAUGGUAGCUGCUCUAGCUCGAGUUCGGGCUCCACAAAAUAUUCCUGAUAACAGUGUUGGAACCUCGGGUGUACCUCCUAUGACCGCGGCCUCAAGGGCAGUAACGAUGGAAUCGGGUGAACUUGCUAGAAUCAUCUAAGAAGGAAUUACCGCGGGCCUAGCACAGAAAGCUAAGGGGGCAAUAGGCUUUACCCCUAGCACUCCCUUUACUCCUGAAAUAUUAUCAUUCCCUCUACCUGACAGGUUCAAGUACCCCGUGUGAAAGAGUAAGAUGGUACUACCCCUAUCAACCAUCUGAACAUUUAUACCGAUGUCAUGAAUCUCCAAGUUGCCCCCGAUCAAUUUAUGUGUAGAGCUUUUCCUCAAACAUUAACCAACGCAGCCCGAGACUAGUUUUCAACUUUGGAGCCAACCUUCAUAGCCUCUUUCUCGGAUCUAGCCUACAAGUUUUUCGCCUUCUUCGCCAGUAGCAAGCGCAUCAGGAAAACAGCAGCUUCCCUCAUGCAACUUCGACAAGGGCAGAAUGAAUCCCUUCGCAACUUCAUGACUAGAUUCAACAAGGAAAGACUCCAGAUUCCAGAGCUCCAUAUCACAACCAUAGUCUCGGCCUUAACACAUGCCAUAAGGUGUGAAGCGUUCAAGAUAUCUCUAUCAAAGACCCCUCCUACGUUAGUAACCGACCUACUUACUUGAGCCGAGAAGUACAUCAACAUGGAAGAGACUAUGUUUCCAAAAAGAGAUGCCCACCAUCAGCUAAGCCCGAGCUUAAAAGGCAGCAUCAGCUUAAUCUGCAUCAAGAUCAGCUUCAGGGUAAGACAAGGCAUGAUAACCCUUCAGCAGCCUUUACUCGCCUGAAUACCACAAGAUCUAACAUUUUGAUGGAGAUCAAGGAUAUGAAAGAGCUCAAAUGGCCGUCAAGGAUGAAGUCCUCUUCUAAGCCCCGGGACAUGAACAAAUAUUGUGAGUUUCAUCAAGAUAAUGGACAUACCACAGAGACAUGCAAAGCCUUACAGCGCGAGAUCGAGUCUUUGAUCGAGAGAGGAUUCCUAGGGGCAUAUGUUGGUCAAGACAAGCGUUCGAGGAAUGAUCAUAACUAGGCAAAUACCUCAGGGACUAGGGAUAGCAAUGGACCAACGGCAGGGAUGAUCAAUGUCAUUGUCUAGAUGGUCAAUGCCAUACACCUAAUGUACCAGGGUCUUACAUGUUUUUAUGCCCCAUUUAUUUUCAUUUCGUAAUUGGUAGGGCCUACGUGCCGAUUUUAUCUUGUAGCUGGUCGGGUCUGCGUGCCCAUAUUAGUUUGUUAGUUGAUCGGGCCUGUGUGCCUAUACUUUUCAGCUUAUUUUGGUUAGGUGUCAAGAUGC